UUUUUCCCAUUUUUGUUUUUUUUUCACUGAUCUAGGAAUUGCUUUAACUGAACACUGCAGGAUUUAUAACCUGAUGUUUGCUGCCUUUUCCUUUGUUUUAUUUCUUUAAGUCUUUCUUAACCUUUGAGAGUAACUUCUGGAGCAUUCUGAUGGUGGAUCUUGGUCUGCUGUUGGAAGCCUCCAGGCUUCUCAUAUAUCCAGUCUGAGUUGAAAAGUUUUUGUUUUGUUUGUUUGCUUAAACUGAUGACACAAACUAGAUGCACGGACUUUGGGUGAGAUUCGCUGUUGCUCUGCUUUGUGUGACUUAUUCUCCUUUUUUUUUACAGAAAUGUGUUCUAACAGUUCACACUUUGUUACUGUUCUUUGCAAAACUUUUCAGGAGCCAAAAAAAGUCAAACAAUCCAGAGAAAACCUUCCCUUCUCCCCUUUCUGAUGGCGAGAGUGAGAACUCAUGAAAAGUCCUUGAGAAUGUUCCUUCCUAAACUUUUCCCCCCAGUAAUGCAAGCGGGUAAAAUGGUAAAUGCAGCAGUUUGGUGACAUCCAAACCCCACCUGUUGUCAGACACACCCACUUCUUGCGUCUCAGCACUGGGCAGGCCUAUUCCUUUAUUUGUGUAUAUUUUUGUGCAACAGCUGCUAUAGGACACGGGUGUAACACUUUCAGGCAUGUGUUGGGUGUCUUUGGGGAAGAGAUUUGUGGGUUUGUAACAAUGUCUAAAAAACCAGAAUUUCUUUUCCUCAGAUUUGUGAACAAAUUGAUGUUAGCUCACAGUUUUGCAUCUCUUAACCUGAUUUCAUAUAUGUUACGCGAAGGUUUGUUCUUGAAAGACAGACAGUGCUAGUUCUUUGCAGUGUCUUCACACGAUCUUUGGUGGGGAGAGUUGAUAAAAAUUUCAUUCUGCAGAAGUUACUAACUUAAUAUUUAAUGUUGGUUGAAAGGUAGUUUUACAGAUGGUACUCUUUCCUCUUUAUGUAGUGGCUUUCAAAGCCUUGUGUUGAUCUUGGUUGUGCCCAGUGCUUUGCCUAGUGUAUGGGGGAAAUGUUGCAGAACUUGAAUAAGCCGUGACAUCUUAGAUGGUGUAGAUGAUGAUUAUGUGCAUGCUGAACAAGAACUUCUUCUAUAUGCCCUUCUGCUGCAACAGAGUAAUAAAACUGGUAGGUGGCAGCAGCAGCAGAAGAAACUCAUGUGACUGACCUGAGAAACCUCCAGUACUGGGAGAAAUGGAUUGCAAAAUGCUAACUCAACUAAGGGGGACGGAAGAGAAAGGCAGAGUCCCUGAACUGCCCCUUUGAAUGGAAUUUAAUGCUUGAGAAAGAUGCUGGACCAACAGUUGCAGAGAUUGAACUCCUCUACCCACAGGAAAGGUUUUUCUACACCACAGGAGAUCUUCUCUUCUCUUGUACGGGGACACUUGCCUCUUGAUAUAACACCCCCUUCACAAUGAAGUGAAGAAAGGAUAGACCAGCGGCAGUGUCGAAUGGGGUGAUGUCCACACUUGGGGUUAAUAGUCGUAAUAAACACUGUCCUCCUAACAUGGAGAAAUGAAUAAAACAAUUUAAUUCUUAA